rnacentral:lncRNA from 10 species
CCAGCUUCUCAAUGCCCAAGGAAUGCCAGAGUCAUCAAAGCACUCUCAUUUUUUUAAGUCUUCCAGCCUGUCACCCGAUAAACUAAAAGGCAGUUGAGGCUCGGAGGCACACUUUCUAAAUAAGAGGGUAGAUGGUAAAACAGGAGCCUCCCCUGACUGAAGACCUCAAGGCCCAGAACAGGAGACCAUUACCAAAGGAUGAGCCUCGGUUGCGCCCCUCUGGCACAGAUACCAACUGUGCAGCCCCUAGGAUAAGGACAACGUUUGCAUCCAGCAGCAUCUUACUGCCCACCAGCACCUCCUGAGAUGAGUCUGCAUGGUGAGGACCACGGAGACAGGGCUGUGAACUCAUCCAUCAUGUUCCAUCCCAUGCUUGCAUUCCAAAGGAUUGUAAAACCCCAGAGACCUUCCUCUCCUUUCUCCGGAAUGGAUUUGUGUUUGCCUUGGAGAUCAAAGGUCUUUCCCUCCGCCUCCAGAGUGAGUGAGAGGCCCAGACAUGCCAGCAGCAUCUGGCUGUGCUCUGAGAUGCAUCAUUUCCAAGCUCUUGCCUGUGGCACAGAGGCCUGUAUCUGCAGGGUACAUCUGGGUCACACUGUGCUGCCCUGUGGGAAACUGAGGGAUGGGGAGUUGGCAAUCAGACUGCUAUUCGAGCAAAUAAUUGGUCUGUUUUCUGAUCCAGAAACUUUGUUUCCAGACAGGAUAAAUCAAUGAAUAUAGAUAUAAAAACCAAACAGAUGUCUUCUCCUAGUCCAUAGCUUGUCUUUUCCCAUUGUUUGUGUUGU